AGGAAAGUGCUACGGCUCCGCACGCCUUCCCCCCACCACCCAGUGCCAUGGCUCCGCACGCCUUCCCACCACCCAGUGCCAUGGCUCCGCACGCCUUCCCCCCACCACCCAGUGCCAUGGCUCCACACGCCUUCCCCCACUCCAGUGCCACGGCUCUACAUGCCUUUUCCCCCCCAGUGCCACGGCUCCACAAGCCUUUUCCCAUCCUACAAUUGUCAUGUAUUUUUCAUGAAAUGAGUUAUUUGAAAGAAACUAAUAUUGUCCAAAAUAUAGAACUUCUUUUGGAAGUUUUGAAGAAUCUUGGACUCCAAGGGGCUCCUCUUUUGAAAGCUGUUCCCUUCUCUGACCACAGGGGCUGGGAGGGGCGUGCUAGGCCUGCACGGAGCCUGGGCGGGGUGUAGGAGGACCUGGAGGAGUGCUGGAGCCAGGCAAGCUGGGCUGCUACCAGGAACCCGAACCCCUCCAGACACCCCGGGAGAGGUGACCCACCUGCCCCUGUGCGCAAGUCACUGAAAGUUUUGGAGCCUGGUUUUCUUACCUGAGAAAUGGGGCUGAUGAUCGUCCUGACUGAUCGAUUGGACCACCCGGUACACCACUGGCCUCUCCGAUCCACAAGCUUCGAAAGCAUUUUCAUAUCAGGAUCCUGCAGAUGUGGUCAAGACAAGCACUGGGCUGGGCGGGGCCCAAGUCCAGGAACAGGCAUCCUCCUAAGAGGAAAGAGACCAACACGGUGCCAUGGGAGGCAGGCGAGGUUGGAGCAACGGCACAAGCCAGGGAAGCUGAGAGCAGCAGAUGCUGGGACAGGUGGCUAGGAGCCACCGGUGCACCCGGGGAGCACGCCCUUGCGAGGUGAUGAAAAACCUGCUGAAAUAGCACAGAGCAGCCCCUCCCGCGGUGGUUCAUAGCAUUCAUCCCCUGAGAGCCCACACAGGCCACACCACCGGCCCACAGAGGGGAAGCUGAGGCAGGAGCCUAAUGACUCGCCCCAGGCCUCAAAACGAUGUGCACUGGGGCUGUUUCCACUAUUAAGUCAACAAUCUCUGCAGUUUCUGCUUAAUGGUCUCAAUUAAGGUUCUCUUAAUAAAGAACAUUUGUGGAGAAGAUGGGUGGGGCUGACACAGUUCUGCGGUCCACAAUGCCUCUGAAUCCCAGUGAAAACAGGCUAGAGCCUUCUCAGCUCCCAAGGCACAACCAAAAUACAGACAGACAGGAGCGCCCCAGGGAAGGAGAACUGGCGUGGUGUCCACACAGGCAUCAGGAAGUGUGUGAGCCUGCGAAUGUGCACCUGUGUGCAUGUGGUGGCAUGUAGGUGGAAUGUAGGUGGCACGUGUGCAUGAAUCGAGUGCAUAUACAUGUGAAUGGUAUGUGUGCACAUGUAAGCAUAUGUAUGCCAUAUGCGUGUACACGUUGCAUGUGAGUAUAUGUAUACCAUGAGUGUGCACUGUGCAUGUGAGCAUAUGCAUGCUGUAUGUGUACACUGUGCAUGUGAGCAUAGGUGUACCGUGUGUGUGUGCACUGUGCAUGUG
rnacentral:lncRNA from 1 species